rnacentral:tRNA from 1 species
ACCUGGCUGGCUAAGUCAGAAGAGCAUGUGACUCUUGAUCUUGGGAUUGUGAGUUCAAGUCCCACACUGGGUG